UACGUAGGUGGCAAGCGUUGUCCGGAUUUACUGGGCGUAAAGAGCGCGCAGGCGGUCUUGUAAGUCGAAUGUGAAAGCCCCUGGCUCAACCGGGGAGGGUCAUUCGAUACUGCUCGACUCGAAGGCAGGAGAGGGAAGCGGAAUUCCCGGUGUAGUGGUGAAAUGCGCAGAUAUCGGGAGGAACACCGGUGGCGAAGGCGGUUCUCUGGGCCUGUACUGACGCUGAGGAGCGAAAGCGUGGGGAGCGAACAGG
rnacentral:rRNA from 1 species